rnacentral:lncRNA from 10 species
CUACUUGGGAGGGUGAGGCAGGAGAAUCGGUUGAACCUGGGAGGCAGAGUUUGCAGUGAGCCAAAAUCGCACCAUUGCAUUCCAGCCUGCGCAACAAGAAUGAAACUCCGUCUCAAAAAAAAAAAAAGUCUUUAAAGGGCAUCCAUUUUUCUUCAUUAAAUUAUAUUUUAAAAGACUGCUUUGAUGGUUAAAUUCCCAGGACGUGCAGUUCUUUAUGGAUUGACUAAAUGGCAGCCUGAUUAUAGUAACUGGCUCUGAAUUGCUGCUUCUGCUCAACUUCCUGGAUGCUAGCAGUACCCAGGGAUGUAAAGACCUUUCAACUAGAGCUCAUAGCAGGCCCUUGUGUCUGAGAAUGACUGCUUCUGUGAUCUGAUGAGCACACGUGGUGUGCAUCCAGUGGCUCUGCUCUUAAACUAGGCCCAUGACUACCAACAGUCAUUCUUCCUGGGCUGCUGAGACCAGAAAAUAAAAGUGCCUUCCAAAGGGUUCACAGAUGCAGAGGAAUUUUGCCUCAGGAUGAAUUGCAUCUUCAGUCUCACCCAAACCUGAUUUAGAUAAUAUUUCAAUGAGACUUCGGACUUCAGACUUUACAGUUGAUGCUGCAACCAGUUAAGGCUUUUGGGAUUGUCGGAAUGGAAUGAAUGUAUUUUGCAUGUGAGAAGAACAUGAAGUGUGGGGGGGCCAUGGGCAGAAUAUUAUGGAUUGCAUGAUUUUGUCUCCCCAGAAUACAUAUGUUGAAAUUCUAAUCCCCAAUGUGAUGGUAUUAUGUGGUGGGAACUUUGGGAGGUAAUUAGGUUAUGAGGGUGGAGACCUCAUGUAAAGGAUUAGUGCCCUUAUAAGAAGAAACACAAGAGCUUGCUUCCUCUCUCUGCUCUCCACUAUGUGAAGAUAGAACAAGAAGAUGGCCAUCUGCAAACCAGGAAGAGAGCCCUCAUCAGACACUGGAUCUGCCAGCACCUUGAUCCUGGACUUCACAGCCUCCAGAACUGUGAGAAAUACAUAUAUGUUUUUUAAAGCACCCAGUCUGUGGCAUUUUGUUGUAGCAACCUGAGCUAAAACAGUUGCUAUUGAACUCUGUUCAGAGCUCCAGAUGUCCUGUGCUGGCACUGGGCAGGGUGCUCUCCUGGGCCAUUUCAUCAGCUCAGAGGCCUCACCUUCCACCAUAUGCUGAAGACCUCAAAUCUACAUCACAGUGAGACCUCCCCUGAGGUCUAGGCUAUUAAGUUGUAAGAUCUAUAAAAGCUUUCAUCACCUCACUUCCCUACUGGCCUUUACUCACCCUUCAAAAUGAUAAUUGUGUUAGUCAUUGAAAGAUGUGGCUGGGAUGAGAGUUCAGUUUACAGACUCUGCAGCUGGACUGCCUGGGUUCUGCCCUGGUUCCACCAUUAACUAGCUGGUAUCCAUGGACAAAUUGGUAUCUUCUCGGUGCCUCAGCUCCCUCUUUUCUAGAAUGAGGGGUAAUGACAGUGUCUCCCUCAUAGAUUGGAUGUGAGGAUUAGAUGAGUUUAACAGAUGUAAAGUACUUACAACAGUUCCUGGCACAUAAUAAGCUCUUACUAUAUCAGGAACUAGCUUAUUCUGUGCUUGUUAGUGUUUUAAUUUAAUUCUUAGAGUAGCCCGAUGAGGCUUUGAGAGAACUUGCCCAGUUCCAGAGCUUAAGCUCUCAACUCCGUGCUGUUUUCUUGUCUUAAGGCAUAAACACUGUUGAGCCUUGGCCGAUUCCUGGCAGAGCCAGGCGCUCCCUCCUCCAUGUUGUCACCCUACUCCAGGCUUGCUCACCCUACUGUGGGCUUGUGCAUCAGCUCUCCACAGCUGCUUCUCACCUGUAAAAAAUCAGGCUUCGUUUGUCUCAUUCUUGCCAUAGAAUGCCUUGUCCAAUUAUAUGCAAGCUUAGUACAUGUUGUUAAAUAAAAGAUUCAAUAAACGAAUUCAUAAAC